CCUACGGGGGGCUGCAGUGGGGAAUAUUUGGCAAUGGGCGCAAGCCUGACCCAGCAACGCCGCGUGAAGGAAGAAGGCUUUCGGGUUGUAAACUUCUUUUCUCAGGGACGAAGCAAGUGACGGUACCUGAGGAAUAAGCCACGGCUAACUACGUGCCAGCAGCCGCGGUAAUACGUAGGUGGCAAGCGUUAUCCGGAUGUACUGGGUGUAAGGGGCGUGUAGGCGGGAAAGCAAGUCAGAUGUGAAAACCAUGGGCUCAACCUGUGGCCUGCAUUUGAAACUGUUUUUCUUGAGUACUGGAGAGGCAGACGGAAUUCCUAGUGUAGCGGUGAAAUGCGUAGAUAUUAGGAGGAACACCAGUGGCGAAGGCGGUCUGCUGGACAGCAACUGACGCUGAGGCGCGAAGGCGUGGGGAGCAAACGGGAUUAGAUACCCCAGUAGUC
rnacentral:rRNA from 1 species